AAAACAUUUCAUGAGAUUCAAAAAUCUGAUUUGCUUCCUCUUAUGUACUUUUUCACAUUUCUUUUUAUCCCUCCCCCAAUAUGUGAUAAUACACUGAUAUAUGAAGGACGUAUGCGUGUUUUAAAGGGCCAAGGAAAGAAGAUACUGAGCAAACUGCUGCUCUGGAAGUGGUCCCAAGUAAGAGGAGAAAUGACACAGGUGGCUCCUGCUUUGAAGAAGGGAAGAGAAAACAGAAUUCUGGGGGCAAGCUAAAAGGGAAACAACCGCGAGUGCAGUGGAUUGACUGAAAACUACCUGAUGUUCUGCAAUCCUGGAGGCUGUCCUGAGCGCUGAGUAGUCAUAUGCUGAAUGAUCGUCAGAACCUGCUGAACCCACUUCAAAGGAUAAACCAACAUCGAAGCAACAGCACUGGCUUGGAAACUGUGAGAUUCGACAUGAAUUCUCUGAUGGAAGAAAUCCAGUUGCAUUAUGUGAUAGCAACCAGAUCAUAUGGAAUGCCGAAAGAAGCAGAACUUGAUGAAAGAAGAAGAGGAAGAGAUGGAGGUGGAGCCCCUCUUCAUGGCUCACAGCCUUCCCCAAGAUAAGUCGGUAAUGAGACACGCAAAUUGCUGAUACCUUCGCCCUCACCAGUUCAACAAUUGUGGGAUUCUGAACUAUUAAUAAAAUGUAACAAAAUAUUCCA
rnacentral:lncRNA from 1 species